rnacentral:rRNA from 1 species
AGUUCGGACUGGAGUCUGCAACCCGACUCCACGAAGUUGGAUUCGCUAGUAAUCGCGCAUCAGCCAUGGCGCGGUGAAUACGUUCCCGGGCCCUGUACACACCGCCCGUCAAGCCAUGGGAGCCGGGGGCGCCUGAAGUCCGGGACCGCGAGGACCGGCCUAGGGCGAAACUGGUAACUGGGGCUAAGUCGUAACAAGGUACC